rnacentral:rRNA from 1 species
AUUGAACGCUGGCGGCAUGCUUUACACAUGCAAGUCGAACGGUAACAGGCCUUCGGGUGCUGACGAGUGGCGAACGGGUGAGUAAUGCAUCGGAACGUACCCAGAGGUGGGGGAUAACGCAGCGAAAGCUGUGCUAAUACCGCAUGUGAUCUGAGGAUGAAAGCGGGGGACCGAGCAGCAAUGUUUGGCCUCGCGCCUUUGGAGCGGCCGAUGUCGGAUUAGCUAGUUGGUGGGGUAAAGGCCUACCAAGGCGACGAUCCGUAGCUGGUCUGAGAGGACGACCAGCCACACUGGGACGGAGACACGGCCAAGACUCCUACGGGAGGCAGCAGUGGGGAAUUUUGGACAAUGGGCGCAAGCCUGAUCCAGCAAUGCCGCGUGCGGGAAGAAGGCCUUCGGGUUGUAAACCGCUUUUGGCAGGAACGAAACGGUGUCCGCUAAUACCGGGCGCUAAUGACGGUACCUGCAGAAUAAGCACCGGCUAACUACGUG